AGUGAACGCUGGCGGCGUGCCUAAUACAUGCAAGUCGAACGGAGAUUAAGUAGCUUGCUAUUUAAUCUUAGUGGCGCACGGGUGAGUAAUAUAUAGCUAACUUGCCCAUUACUAAGGGACAACAGUUGGAAACGACUGCUAAUACCUUAUACUCCGUAUCUAUAUAAGUAGAUACGGGAAAGUUUUUCGGUAAUGGAUAGGGCUAUAUCGUAUCAGCUAGUUGGUAAGGUAAUGGCUUACCAAGGCUAUGACGCGUAACUGGUCUGAGAGGAUGAUCAGUCACACUGGAACUGAGACACGGUCCAGACUCCUACGGGAGGCAGCAGUAGGGAAUAUUGCUCAAUGGGGGAAACCCUGAAGCAGCAACGCCGCGUGGAGGAUAACACUUUUCGGAGCGUAAACUCCUUUUCUUGGGAAAGAAUUAUGACGGUACCCAAGGAAUAAGCACCGGCUAACUCCGUG
rnacentral:rRNA from 1 species